rnacentral:lncRNA from 1 species
CUACAAAGGUAAAAAUAAACAACUAUAUUCCUAUGGUACCUUCUUUUAGCAUUUUUCUCUAUAUCCUUCCAGCCAUUUUUCUAUAUAGGUAUAGGGCAAGUUGGAAGUCUUGAUCUGCAGCAAAGGACCUUAUUUUAGAGGCAAAAAAUAUAUUAGUGUUAGUGAAUAGAUGUAGAAGAAAUUGAAAUCUGUGAACUCUGAGAAUUCAGGGGACGAUGUACCGAUCACUGACACCUUGGGGAGAAACAGACAAUGGGGAGAUAAACUGUGAAAUGUGCCCAUUGCUGGAACUUGAAGAGUGGAUGAGGAGUUUGAUGGAAUGGUAUGGAGGGGCCAAAUGCCACUGAAUCACUCAGGCACCCUCCUCCCCCAGUCACCUUAAUCAUGCCCUGUUUAUACAAACAAUAGCACAAUGAGAAAAAUGUAGAUACAACUGGAGGAACCCACCCAGGAAAAGUGUUUGGUAGAGUUUUGCAGAAGAUAGGAUAAGAUCUAGAGGAGAAGAAUUGGAAUUAUAAAUACAGUGGUUAAUUCUAGGCUCUACAUGUGUGGGAAUUUGGGCCAAUUUUGCUUUUAUAUUUCCCAGGGGAAAAAUGUCUGUUUCAACUAUAUUUUCAAAUUUAUUAUUAUAAAGUUUUUCAUAGUGUUAAUAUCUUCUUGAAAUUUUCAAACAUCAUACUUAUCCACGUGUCAGGAUUUUUUGGUUUUUAAUGUUAUUUGUUUCUUAUCCUUCUUGAUCCUAUUUGCCUAGGGUUUAUCUGUUUUAUGAGUCAUUUCAAAGAACAAGUUUUGGUUUUGCUGAUUAACUCAUUUCUGGGGAGGGAAAAUGUUUUUCAUUAAUUACAGUUUCUAGCUUAUAUUUUGUUCUUUCGAAUUUCGUUGGGUUUAUUUUCUUCCAUUUCCCUGUCCACUAAUGGGAUUUUGGAUUUCCUCUUCUCUGCAUUGCCUGUACAUUGCCUGGAGGCAGCAACGCAUAUGGCUAAUAAAACAUAUUGAGGAUGAAUGAGAAAACAACCUGGUUCCUGGAAGGAGAGAAACAAGGUGGAGUCUUCUCACAGAAACAAGGAGAAGGUCAGAGAGACCUCCGGGAGCAUCUCAUCUUGGAGACACCACAAGCUCAAGAGGCUGCAUUAGCGUUUUUUAUUGGAGGCAUUUUCUUUUCCUCCAGAUUUUGUUUUUGACUGUUAAGGUCAUAGCUACAAACAAUUGAUCAAGCCUAAAAGGGCAUUUAUAAACCACCUGCAUCUACAUUUUUUUCUUACUGUGGAUGGAUUUAAAAAGCCGUUUCAAGAUGAAAUCUUAUGAGUCAUUAUCAUGUCUUCUGAGGGCUGAGAUAUAACUUUGAAGUAGAGCCCAAACAUGAAGAUCAUGAAGAUGGCUUCUUCUCCAAAUGAUGUUAUCUUAAAAACUUGAAAAAGACAAAAAAAAAAAAAAAAAAAAAGAAGAAGAAAAAGAAAAAAGAAAGAAAAAAAGAGAGAGCGAGCCAAGGGAACUUGAAUCAGACAAACCUGGUUCAAAGUGAUUAUUCAACAAAUGUAAGCUGUUAUCAUCUUGUCCUCCAUCAUUCAAAUAUGUCCUGUAUAGAUCUUCCAUUAAUUUCAAAUAUCUAAUGAUCUACACCAUCAAAUAUUAUGAAGGUGAUGUUUAGCAGGUCAUUGGCUAAGACAGGCUCUACCUCAGUCUCUAAUAGAGAAGGAAAGACAAGUAGCAUUUACUAACACCCACAGUAUGCUUCAUAUUGUUGCCAGAAAUUUCAAAUGCACCAUCUAUUGAUGCAUGGAAUCCUUUCAACAUUCUUAGAAGGUGAGUGUUAUCUUAACUUUUCAUUUUAGGAAAAUGAAGCUGAGAGUGGUUAAGUAUCUUGCUUAAGGUAAUAUUCAUACCAUGGGGAGGAUCAUUAUAGUUGACCAGUUAAAUACGUGAAUUGAAGGUAAUAUCACAGAUCCCUGCUACUCAAAAUGUGGUCCACUGACCAGCAUCGCUGGCAUUACCUGGGAGCUUGUUAGAAAUGCAGCGCCUCAGGCGUCACCCUGUCCCUACGGAAGCAGAAGCUGCAUUUUUCACGUGGAUCUCCUGGCGAUUUCUGCGAACAUUUACUGCUGUUAUAGAAGAGACCCAAGCACCCAUAUCCACUACCUCUGUCAUUUUACCAGUGAGGAAAUACAUUAAAAAGCAUAAUCACUUUAUGAGCAAAUAAAUGUUAACUUUUUCAAGUAUAAAAUAUCAAAACUCAUCAUUUCAAGGCCGCAAGCCAGUUUUUUUUUUUUCAAAAUUUGGUAGAGUUUCCAAAAUAAGCAGAGCCAAUAAGAACUAGCAAGUAACAAGAUGAAAAUAUAAAGGUCAUGAGGCCAAAGAAGGAGCCUUUAUUCAGAGGUAUCAGUGGCUUUUAAAUGCAAACUAAAAUUGGGAGUUAAAAGGGCUCUUACUGACUUACCCAAAUGAGAUACAUUAAUAGUUAACACUGAUUGAACAUUUAAUAUGAUAUGUAUUACCUCAUUUAAUCCCCACAAUGACCCUGUGAAUGAGUACUGGUAUUGUUAUUAUUAUCUGUUUUAGCAGUUAGGAUAUCAACUAUCCUAUGAAAGGAUUAUCAAAGAACUAUCAAAAUCACAGAGCUGGGAAGUUACCGAAUUGGGGCUGGAAUCCCAGGCUUCCUAUCCCAGGGCUGAGCUCAUCCCCAUAGUGUUAUUCUGUCUCAUAACAUAGGAGACAUAUUUAGGGAAAGCAGCCACCCAAAAGUAAGAUAGAACACAAGGGACCUGUAAGCAACUCCUUCACUGAAAUGAGCCUGGGAGUGUGAAGAGCAGAGGAUGGAGAGCCUUGCUUCUGAAGGCCUUGGUCACACCCUCACACUGUUCAAAGUGGAAGAGAUUCAUUAACUUUUAUCAUUAUAUAAGAUACUACUUAUUUCUUUAAAUCUCACCUCAACCCCCAAAACUGAAAGUUAGCAGGAGAACACUUUUGGCCAAUAAGAAAACAGAAAAUAAAAUUAAAAUGGUAGAUUCAGUUUCCUGCAAUACCUCAGUUUCAUGCAAAGACAGUGGCUCUGUGAAACUCAUAAUAAAACUUUUAAACAUCCCAGAAAUAUCUUUAAAAACAUAAAUUUUACUGUUUAUCUUUCCUUUUAUAAAAUGGUACAUGUUCAUUAUGGAAAUUUUUAAAAAAGACAAAAUUAUGCCAAAAAAAAUGAGAAAUCCUUUAUAUUCAUGCAACCGACAGAAACCAAUUAGUAUGUUGUUAUACUGCCUUUCAAAUUUAUUUCUAUAGAGUUUUAUUUUUGCAUAUUUUGGUUUGUAGUCAUAUUACACAUAAAAUUUUGUACCCAAUUUUUCCCAUUAACUUUAUGUGUUUGGCAUUUACCUCUUAUUAUAAACCCUGCAUGACAGCUCAUUUAAAAGUGAGUUAGUAAUCGCUUGAGCAGACAUAUGGCAACUUAAGCAAUUUUUAUCCCAUUGAUGAGAUUUGUAGGUUGUUUCUAAUUUUUCCCCUUUGUAAAGAGUUCAGUGAACUUUUUGGCUCAAAUAUUUUUGAUUAUAUAUCAGCUUGUUUGGAUAGAUGUUAUUUCAAAUGAUACAAUUAUUUGAUGCAUUUGCCAAAUAUCUUUCUAAAAUAAUAAUUUGGAAGCUCAGAGCACUAUGCUCUCCCAAUAAUUCUAUAAUAAAUUUAUCAAAGCCACAAUUUUCAUCAAGAUAGCUCUGCAUGUAGAUUGACUAAUUACUGUUGUUUCCUUAUCAGUGGUUCUACAGUUCAGCUCUUUAUGAAGAUGUGACGGUUAAUGAGAAACUGAUUAAGUUUGUAUCUGUGGAUUAGAUAGCAGCAAGACUCUAGAUAUUUGGUCCUGAAUAAAAUAAGGAUGCGUUUCGUUUGCAUUUGCUGAUAUUUGUUUAGCUUGCCUUGUAUGUUAAGAUUUUCCUAAUUCAUUAGUAAGAAAGAUUUCACACAUACACACACUCUUCAUUAUAGAAAUUUGCAAUAAAAAUCCCAAGGAGUCCCUCCAUUUCAUUUAUUGCUAUUUUAUCUUAAUUUUAUUAUAGUUUCCAGAAAAAAAAAUUUAAUUUCAUAAAAUAGAGGUUAAAUGAGAAACAUUCUUUCAAAAGCCAGUUACUGGCAGCCCCCUAAUUUUUGCCACUACUUCUUUAGCCUUUGCAACUCUUUAAAAAAAUACAAGGAAUGCAAGUUUAUUGUAAAAUAACAAAAAUAUUAAUAAAUGAGUAGAAGCAAUCCAUGAUAUUAUAAUUCAGAAAUAAAUAGCUAAAAUUGUACUGUAUAAAUUCCAGGUAUUUUUAUGAGUACCUAAUUAUAUGUUUGAUUUUUAAGUAUAACCAUUCUCUAUAUAUUUUUUGACAGCUUUCUUCACUUAAGAGUAUGUAGUCAGGAAAAUAUAUCAAUGCACAUAAGUAUGUUUUGUAAUAUAAUGAGUACAUAAUACAAUAUAUAGACAUCCCACUAUUCAUUUUAUCCAUUGUCUAUUGUUGGACAGAAAUUAUGCAUUUUUUAUUUACUUGUAACUUUGCAUUAAGUGGCUUUAUUCCUAAAUUUUUGCUACAUGCUGAAUUAUUUUCUCAGACAAAAUUCCUUGAAAUAUAAAUACUGUGUCAAAGAGGAACCAUAUUUAAAAAAAUCAACAAUAAUAUUUAAAUAUCCAAUAUCUUUUAACUGUAGAAAAUUAGCAAAUAGAAAUAACCAAAUGAAAAAAUAUUGAAAACAAUAAUAAUAAUUCUACCACGUGCACAUAACCAUGUCUGGGUUAGUGCUUUUUUCCCUGUAUCUUUUCUAUUUAGCUUUACGUAAAUAUGUUUAAUAUAAUUUUUCUUAUAUAUUAAUCUCUCUAUACAUUUCAUAUAUAUAUAUAUGUAUGUAUAUCUACCCACAAAAAAGGCAUUUUUA